UACGUAGGUCGCAAGCGUUGUCCGGAUUUACUGGGCGUAAAGAGCGCGCAGGCGGCUGGUCAAGUCCGAUGUGAAAUCUCCCGGCUCAACUGGGAAACUGCAUCGGAAACUGAUCGGCUUGAAGAUGGGAGAGGGUAGUGGAAUUCCCGGUGUAGUGGUGAAAUGCGCAGAUAUCAGGAGGAACACCAAUUGCGAAGGCAGCUCGCUGGGACGUUACUGACGCUGAGACGCGAAAGCGUGGGGAGCAAACAGG
rnacentral:rRNA from 1 species